rnacentral:rRNA from 1 species
UACGUAGGGUGCGAGCGUUAAUCGGAAUUACUGGGCGUAAAGCGUGCGCAGGCGGUUCGUUGUGUCGGUGGUGAAAGCCCCGGGCUUAACCUGGGAAUGGCCAUGGAAACUGGCGAACUGGAGUGUGGCAGAGGGGGGUGGAAUUCCGCGUGUAGCAGUGAAAUGCGUAGAGAUGCGGAGGAACACCAAUGGCGAAGGCAGCUCGCUGGGACGUGACUGACGCUGAGACGCGAAAGCGUGGGGAGCAAACAGG